rnacentral:rRNA from 1 species
CAGUGAAUAGGCCCAGGCAACUGUUUACCAAAAACACAGGUCUCUGCUAACACGUAAGUGGAUGUAUAGGGGCUGACGCCUGCCCAGUGCUGGAAGGUUAAAGAGAUUAGUUAGUAUGACGUAAGUCGAUAAUACGAAGCUUUGAACUGAAGCCCCAGUGAACGGCGGCCGUAACUAUAACGGUCCUAAGGUAGCGAAAUUCCUUGUCAGGUAAGUUCUGACCCGCACGAAAGGCGUAAUGAUCUGGGUACUGUCUCAACCAUAGACUCGGUGAAAUCUUAAUACCUGUGAAAAUGCAGGUUACCCGCGACUGGACGGAAAGACCCCGUGGAGCUUUACUGUAGCUUGAUAUUGGAAUUCGGUAAACUAUGUAGAGCAUAGGUGGGAGACUAUGAGAUUAAGGCGCCAGCCUUAAAGGAGUCACCAUUGGAAUACCACCCUUAGUUUAUUGGAUUUCUAACCUAGGACCAUAAUCUGGUUCAGGGACAGUGUCUGGUGGGCAGUUUGACUGGGGCGGUCGCCUCCUAAAGAGUAACGGAGGCGUUCAAAGGUUCCCUCAGAAUGGUUGGAAAUCAUUCAAAGAGCAUAAAGGUAUAAGGGAGCUUGACUGCAAGACCUACAAGUCAAGCAGGUGCGAAAGCAGGACUUAGUGAUCAGGCGAUUCAGAAUGGAAUGGUCGUCGCUUAACGGAUAAAAGUUACCCCGGGGAUAACAGGCUGAUACCACCCAAUAGUUCACAUAGACGGUGGUGUUUGGCACCUCGAUGUCGGCUCGUCAUAUCCUGGAGGUGGAGUUGCUUCCAAGGGUUGGGCUGUUCGCCCAUUAAAGUGGCACGCGAGCUGGGUUCAGAACGUCGUGAGACAGUUCGGUCCCUAUCCGUCGUGGGCGCAGGAAAAUUGAGGAGAGCUAUCCUUAGUACGAGAGGACCGGGAUGGACCUACCUCUGGUGUAUCUGUUGUCACGCCAGUGGCAGUGCAGAGUAGCUAUGUAGGGAAGGGAUAAACGCUGAAAGCAUCUAAGCGUGAAGCCCUCUCCAAGAUGAGUUUUCCCAUUGUAUAACAAGUAAAAUCCCAGAAAGACUAACUGGUAGAUAGGCUAGAAGUGGAAGUGUAGUGAUACAUUGAGCGGACUAGUACUAAUAGAUUGAGGAUUUAAUCCC